rnacentral:rRNA from 1 species
GACGAACGCUGGCGGCGUGCUUAACACAUGCAAGUCGAGCGGUAAGGCCCUUUCGGGGGUACGACGAGCGGCGAAUGGGUGAGUAACACGUGGGUGACCUGCCCUUAGCUCUGGGAUAAGCCUGGGAAACUGGGUCUAAUACCGGAUAUGACUCCAUGACGCAUGUUGUGGGGUGGAAAGCCUUGUGCGGCUAGGGAUGGGCCCGCGGCCUAUCAGCUUGUUGGUGGGGUGAUGGCCUACCAAGGCGACGACGGGUAGCCGGCCUGAGAGGGCGACCGGCCACACUGGGACUGAGACACGGCCCAGACUCCUACGGGAGGCAGCAGUGGGGAAUCUUGCGCAAUGGGCGAAAGCCUGACGCAGCGACGCCGCGUGGGGAUGACGGCCUCGG